CUGGGGAGGAGUUACUUACAAGGAUUCUGGGGAGGUUGUUAGCAGCCCACUUUCCACUUCAGUGGAAAGAGCAUUGGAUUCCAUGCAUCUCCUAGCUGCAUGACAGGGCAAGAAAAGGAAAAAGAGGAGAGGACUAGUUUUAGUUGAAUAUUAUACAUACCACAAGUUAGAUGUUGUGUUAGGUGCAGGGAAAUAAAAAUCACUAAGGCAGAAUUUGUACUUGCAAGGAGUUCUCGGUCUCGAGGCAAGCAUGGAAUCAGAAAUGGCAAGUGGUGGUCAUUUUGUUUGCUGACUGGAUUGCUGUGAUGAGUGUUUUCUGCGGGGAGGAAGGGAUGGAUGUCAUUUGCUAUGUCUGGAUCUAAAUAAACAAUACCAUGAUUUCCACUGCUCAGGAGAGCUGUAUGUGGUGCCCUGUGGAUGGUGCAGGUGAGACGUCCAAAGACAGCAUCGCUCACACUGCUCAGGAUGGAUGAGGUACUGAAGGAGGCCAGAUUGGAGGAGCCAGCCUGGGCAGGGCUGUGGCUGCUUCAGGGCAAGCCAUUAAAAAUGUGAAAAGGAUUCUUAGCUCACGGACUGUACGAAAACAGAAUUCUAUGGGCCAGUUUGCUAACCUUUGCCUUCCUAUCACCUCUCCUAUCACAUUCUAAGAUGAGCGGUGCUGUGGGAUGAGGUCACCCUGCCUAGAGAUUCUUUUGUAUGGCCUGGUAGUUUAUCUACUUUUUUUUUUUGAGAUAGGGUCUUGCUCUGUCAUCCAGGCUGGAGUGCCAUGAGUGGUGUGAUCUUGGUUCAGUGCAGCCUCUUCUUCCCAGGUUCAAGUGAUUCUCCCACCUUAGCCUCCCUAGUAGCUGGGAUUACAGGCACCCAGCAUCAUGCCCAGCGACUUUUUUUUUUUUUUUUUUUUUUUUGUAUUUUUGUAGAGACAGGGUUUCACCACAUUGGCCAGGCUGGUCUUGAACCCCUGACCUCAGGUGAUCCACCUCCCUCGGCCUCCCAAACUGCUGAGAUUACAGGCAUGAGCCACCGUGCCUGGCCUAUCCAUUUCUUUAGUCAAAUGCUUACUGAGGACCUACUGUGUGUUAGGGGCUGCUCCCGGUACUGGGAAUUCAGAAAUGAAUGAGGCAAGUGCCUGCCCUCAAAUGACUUACGUUCCCCUGGCCAUGGCAGGAAGAUUUAAGGAGUGGAGACAAGAUUUG
rnacentral:lncRNA from 1 species